rnacentral:rRNA from 1 species
UCGAGAAUUUUUCUCAAUGGGGGCAACCCUGAAGGAGCGACGCCGCGUGAAGGAUGAAGGUCUUCGGAUUGUAAACUUCUGUCAUUGGUGAACAAGGCCCACGCAGUAACUGGUGUUGGGAUUGAUAGUAGCCGAAGAGGAAGAGACGGCUAACUCUGUGCCAGCAGCCGCGGUAAUACAGAGGUCUCAAGCGUUGUUCGGAUUCAUUGGGCGUAAAGGGUGCGUAGGUGGCGAGGUAAGUCUGGUGUGAAAUCCCGGGGCUCAACCCCGGAACUGCACUGGAUACUGCCCUGCUAGAGUACUGGAGAGGAGAUUGGAAUUUACGGUGUAGCAGUGAAAUGCGUAGAUAUCGUAAGGAAGACCAGUGGCGAAGGCGAAUCUCUGGACAGUUACUGACACUGAGGCACGAAGGCCAGGGGAGCAAA